GGUGGGUUGGCUCAGUGGUUAGAGCCUAGGUCUUGUAACCGAAAGGUCGCGGGAUCGAAUCCCGCUAGAGGCUG
rnacentral:tRNA from 1 species